rnacentral:rRNA from 1 species
UGGGGAAUAUUGGACAAUGGGCGCAAGCCUGAUCCAGCCAUGCCGCGUGUGUGAAGAAGGCCUUCGGGUUGUAAAGCACUUUUGUUCGGAAAGAAAUCCUGGUGGUUAAUACCCGCUAGGGAUGACGGUACCGAAAGAAUAAGCACCGGCUAACUUCGUGCCAGCAGCCGCGGUAAUACGAAGGGUGCAAGCGUUACUCGGAAUUACUGGGCGUAAAGCGUGCGUAGGUGGUUCGUUAAGUCUGACGUGAAAUCCCCGGGCUCAACCUGGGAGCUGCGUUGGAUACUGGCGAUCUAGAGUGCGGUAGAGGGUGGUGGAAUUCCCGGUGUAGCAGUGAAAUGCGUAGAGAUCGGGAGGAACACUCGUGGCGAAGGCGGCCACCUGGACCAGCACUGACACU